rnacentral:rRNA from 1 species
GAUGAACGCUGGCGGCGUGCCUAAUACAUGCAAGUCGAGCGAACAGACGAGGAGCUUGCUCCUCUGACGUUAGCGGCGGACGGGUGAGUAACACGUGGAUAACCUACCUAUAAGACUGGGAUAACUUCGGGAAACCGGAGCUAAUACCGGAUAAUAUAUUGAACCGCAUGGUUCAAUAGUGAAAGACGGUUUUGCUGUCACUUAUAGAUGGAUCCGCGCCGCAUUAGCUAGUUGGUAAGGUAACGGCUUACCAAGGCGACGAUGCGUAGCCGACCUGAGAGGGUGGUCGGCCACACUGGAACUGAGACACGGUCCAGACUCCUACGGGAGGCAGCAGUAGGGAAUCUUCCGCAAUGGGCGAAAGCCUGACGGAGCAACGCCGCGUGAGUGAUGAAGGUCUUCAGAUCGUAAAACUCUGUUAUUAGGGAAGAACAAAUGUGUAAGUAACUAUGCACGUCUUGACGGUACCUAAUCAGAAAGCCACGGCUAACUACGUG